CAUGUGUUGAUUAAUGGAUUGGGGACAAUUUGUGUUUAUAUAUAUAUAUAUAUAUAUACACACACACACACACACACACACACACACACACACAC
rnacentral:miRNA from 1 species